AUUGAACGCUAGCGGGAUGCUUUACACAUGCAAGUCGAACGAGUGGCGGACGGGUGAGUAAUACAUCGGAACCUGCCUUGUAGCGGGGGAUAACUACUCGAAACAGUGGCUAAUACCGCGUACCAUCGGAGCGGCCCAUAUCGGAUUAGCUAGUUGGUGGGGUAAAGGCUCACCAAGCCGACGAUCCGUAGCUGGUUUGAGAGGACGACCAGCCACACUGGGACUGAGACACGGCCCAGACUCCUACGGGAGGCAGCAGUGGGGAAUAUUGGGCAAUGGGGGCAACCCUGACGCAGCCAUGCCGCGUGUAUGAGAAGGCCUUCGGGUUGUAAAGUACUUUCGGCAGAGAGGCGGUAUCUGCAGAAUAAGCACCGGCUAACUACGUGCCAGCCGCCGCGGUAAUUC
rnacentral:rRNA from 1 species